rnacentral:rRNA from 1 species
GAGUUUGAUCCUGGCUCAGAUUGAACGCUGGCGGCAUGCCUAACACAUGCAAGUCGAACGGUAACGCGGGGGCAACCCUGGCGACGAGUGGCGGACGGGUGAGUAAUACGUAGGAAUCUGCCCAUUAGUGGGGGACAACCCGGCGAAAGCCGGGCUAAUACCGCAUACGCUCUACGGAGGAAAACGGGGGAUCGUAAGACCUCGUGCUAAUGGAUGAGCCUACGUCGGAUUAGCUAGUUGGUGGGGUAAAGGCUCACCAAGGCUAUGACGGCUAGCCGGCCUGAGAGGGUGUACGGCCACACUGGAACUGAGACACGGUCCAGACUCCUACGGGAGGCAGCAGUGGGGAAUAUUGCGCAAUGGGCGAAAGCCUGACGCAGCGACGCCGCGUGGAGGAUGAAGGUUUUCGGAUUGUAAACUCCUGUUAAGUGGGAAGAAAGGCCUGAUAGUAAUAAUGAUCAGGAUAUGACGGUACCACUAGAGAAAGCACCGGCUAACUUCGUGCCAGCAGCCGCGGUAA